GGCCAGAUGAGGGAUGGGAGGGUCAGGCAGCCUGGUCACUGGUCUUCUGUGUAGGUUCUGGCACAGCCAUGUCUGAGAACCAGCAUUCUAAGUGUUCCAUAGACAUGAACUCAUUUAAUCCUCAAACCACCUUCUGAAUCAGGACAGAGCAGGUGUGAAGGAGCGUCCCUUUCACCUUUUCGACCCAUUCUCAUCCUUCCGCCUGGGGGUUGCCAUGUGAGGAUGUGAUGUUUGGAGCUGCUGGCCCACGAGGAGAAGCCUGAGAGAAUCAAUGCCGUGAAAGCAACCCAGGAACAGCCCUCCCUCAGAUCUCUUGCUAAGGGAGGUAUUCAGCUACUUACACCUGCAUCAGUUAGAAGGAGGUUUGACUGGGAUUAACAGGAAGCCGCAAAAUAAUGGUGGCUUAUGCAAGGGCCACUGCUGGGUCUACUGUCCCAGGACACCUCACCACUGCUCCUACCGACUUCGACCCCUUGUCCGGCUCCAGAUCCACACGGGCCUUCGUCCUCUCCUUCCAGCAAGGGCCAGAGACGCCCAAGUCUCUCCCAACAGCUCCUGCGAGGAGUGAGCUCAUCUCUCAGGCAGGUGUCUCCACCUUCUCUGAUUCCC